GCUCCCGGGUGACGAGCGGCGGACGGGUGAGUAUUCUGGGAAACUGCCUGAUGGAGGGGGAUAACUACUGGAAACGGUAGCUAAUACCGCAUAACGUCGCAAGACCAAAGAGGGGGACCUUCGGGCCUCUUGCCAUCAGAUGUGCCCAGAUGGGAUUAGCUAGUAGUGGGGUAACGGCUCACCUAGGCGACGAUCCCUAGCUGGUCUGAGAGGAUGACCAGCCACACUGGAACUGAGACACGGUCCAGACUCCUACGGGAGGCAGCAGUGGGGAAUAUUACACAAUGGGCGCAAGCCUGAUGCAGCCAUGCCGCGUGUAUGAAGAAGGCCUUCGGGUUGUAAAGUACUUUCAGCGGGGAGGAAGGUGUUGUGGUUAAUAACCACAGCAAUUGACGUUACCCGCAGAAGAAGCACCGGCUAACUCCGUGCCAGCAGCCGCGGUAAUACGGAGGGUGCAAGCGUUAAUCGGAAUUACUGGGCGUAAGCGCACGCAGGCGGUCUGUCAAGUCGGGAUGUGAAAUCCCCCGGGCUCAAACCUUGGGAACUUGGAUUCGAAACUGGGCAGGCUAAAGUCUUGGUAAAGGGGGGUAAAAAUUUCCC
rnacentral:rRNA from 1 species